GCGGUCUCUAGUGCAGAAAUUCUCUUUUUGAAUUUCCUUUUUUUCCCUUUUUUUUAAUGGCUGCGCGUGGUGCUCCUGUAAUACUCGAUAAGUUGGCUUCCAUAUUCUAUGAAUGAUAUGUUACAAAACUCCACUUUUAUCGAGGUUUGGAUGGAUGGGAAUACUUGGAAGGGAGCUACUCUAGUUGUGUAACCAUAACCACGGUCCUUUCUACUUAAAAAACUAAACUAAGCCAUGAGUGAAUGGUACUACAGUGUUCCCACUUGUACGUCGCUUCCCCCCAUUUUGGGAGGCCCAGAAAGCCCACUAGGGCAUCUCUUUCUUGUUUUUGUUGGCAGAACCGCGUGGGAGUGCGCGUGGAGAAAAAGAAUACGCGUGAACCUGGAGGCCUGCGG
rnacentral:lncRNA from 1 species